UCAUCGAGUGUUUACACUGGCAGACUGGGCUGUGAUGUGAUUUUCCUCCUCUUCCUCCUCAUCCCACCCCCGCCGUUGACUUCCUCGGCAUAUCUGUUUCCUCCGAUUAAAAUACUACGUAGUGACAACACUGAAGGAGGAAAAAGGAAAGUGAGGGGGAGGGAGACCGAAGGCAUAUUUUAAAAGGAUGGUGGGUUCCCUCGGCGUCCCUCACCCAAGCGCAUCCCCCCCCACGCGCACACGGCGUUAGCACAGCAGCCCAGACACGAGCCGGGAGCUCGGCCUGCUGCCGGACUGGAGAAUUCACCCCCCCAAGCCGCGGAAAUGAGAAAGAAACUCUCCCCUUGCUAGCACGGAUGAGUAACAGGAUAGCUCUCCUCGGCCAGGUUUUACUUCUGAAGUUCCCCACGGCUGGGACCCCCCCCAGGCGAUACUGAGCGUGUGCGACACGGGCUGGUGGACGGCUCCGAGGCGACGCUCUCAGAGCCGGAGCAGUGGAAGGAUGCAGCCAACAUGGAGGCCGCGCCAGUGUGAGGCCCGUUGCCUUUCGGUCAGAGUGAAGGAAGAAAAAGUUUUAGAAUACAUCUGACCUCCUGGCUGGUGGACUGACUUCCUGGCUCAACCUCAGACCUCCCUUGUCACUACGGACCUGCCCAGUGAUCUCGGGGCUGUUUGACCCUCCUUACUAUCACUAGACCUGAUCCUGACCCUGACCUGCAGAUCGACUUCCUGGCUUGACCUCAGACCUACCUUAUCAUUGCAGACUUGCCAGAUGACCUGGACUCUUGGUUGAACCUGCUACCGUGUCUGAUCCGCACUGCUGCCCUCGCUCAGGUACUGCGGGAUGGGGGCCUGGCUGGCGAGGCCCCUGCCCUGCCAUGCAUGGUCUGGCGCUCAGCCAUCUUCAGCCCUGAGCUUAACACCACGGUACCUAGCCCAUGGGUUCUGCAGGGCUUUGCCCCGUGACUCUUCCUGAGCAAUCAGCCUGGCCCUGGGCUUUUAUCUUCCCACGGUGCUGACAUGCUGCCCGACCCCAGGCUCUCAGGUGAGCCCGCUCCCCAGUGCUGUCUGGUCUCUGUGCCCCAUCGCGGACAGCUGGGGUCCUUCCUCCCCACCGACCCCAAGCCUGCCUGGUCUCUGGGGCUCCCCAGGUGCGGCUUGAACAUGUUCUCCCUCCCGUCACCCCCCCAAGCCCACCCAGCCUCUGGGGCCCCUCAUAGGGAACCCCUGCCCAGCCCCAGGUCUCUCAUGCAAUGUCCCUUUCCCCACUCCCUGCCCCUGCCCUGGCUCUGCAUCUCCUGAAAUAGCCCACUGACAACCCACAACCAUGAAAUCACUCUGCAGCAAGACCCCUCAAACCCAGGCCCCUGUAAGGUGUGAGGACACGCCUUGCUGGAAGGGAAGACCCCCGAGGGCACCCACAGGCCUUAAUGGCCCUGACCAGCCUCCACCCACACUCAGGGGCUCCAUUUCAGCCCGGUACCCCCAGUCCCUGGCUGAGCUAUGUUGUAGGUGUGCCUGCCUCCAGCACAGCCACGGUCACCACCACUGCCACCACCACGGCCGCAGCCAUGGCUGUGCCCGUCCAAAGACCCUGUCGAUCCAGAUCCUAAGCCCAUAGGCUGACUUGGCAGCUUGCCCUUAGUCCCGCCUCAUCUCUACAGACCUGCCCCGCAGCCCCUGGGCUGUCUGUCCCUGGUCUGCAAAUUGAAUUAUCAUCAUGAGUUUGCUUGAUGAGCUGUACUCUUGGUUGAAUCUGGCUACCAUUUCUGGACCUGCCCCAUUCCCCUCGUCUCACUCAGCUACUGCGGGGCCGGGCCCUGGCUGGCGAGGCCCCUGCCCUGCUGGCCACGUUCUAGCACUCAGCUCCUCAUCCCUUAGGGAGCAGCUGGCCCUCGCUGCUCACUGACAGUCUGAUCCUGAAGACAUUUCCAGAUUUUGACUUUUUGCUCUGAUUCAAAAUGAAAACGCACUGCCAAAUGUUGGAAUCCCCCCUGGGUUGGGAAUCCUGACAAAGUCUGCUUUCGCUGUACAUGAAUGACUCUCCAGCUGAAUCCUAUUCGAAUAGCUCAUACUCCAGAGAAGAACAUCUUGCCUAGUGCUCCAGUGACUGGGGGGAUUUGUGGAGGGCAAGUGCACUGGUAUAAAAUACCACCAGUCUCUCUUGCAGCCUACUGUGAAGCCCAGCCUGCUUGGUGCCAGAAUCUGCUACAGGCUUUUUCCUAGCCUUCUGUCAAAGCUCAUCCUCUCCCCUUCUCAGGCAGAACCACCAUGCCCUCCUCUCAGGGCACAAGUCAAGAAGAUGGUCUUGAGAGCAGGCUAGACCCCAGCUUAACUGAUCACAUAGACCCAAAUAUCCUCAGAGACCUAGGCUUAGGAUGCUUGGAGGCACAAAGAACUGGGCCUCAACCCAAGAGCAGAUGCCCUAGUUUUGAUAGCUACACUGAGCUGUCAGCACAAACACAGUAGCACAGCCACUCCUCACUGCUGGAGUUGAAUUAGUCCUACAUUCAUAUGCUCAUGAAUGCCAUGGUUUGUGUAUGCAUCCAGUUAGGGUUGAAGGAAGGCAACAGGAGAUGCUAAACUUUGAAAACAGUACUUUUUACUAAAUGGCCACGGUAGGAAAUUGCUUCUUGUUUGCAUUCAGGUGAUCUGGCUGACCUUGCAGCAGUGUGCUGGGCACAUGACAGGACCAUCUAUUUUGGCAAUAGCUCCAUCUUGGAGAAACUUCUCUUUGCUUUGAGGCUUACGUGAAACACACUGAGGAUAAGGGAAGUUGUAACUACUUCAGAGUCUCCUGAAGGAUAGGCUGUGAUCAAUGUCCUUCCAUUUCAAUACAGUUGCCCUCUCAGCUUAUCACAAAUGACAACUAUAACUCAAAAGGAUUUUUUUAAAAUGACCAAUCUUAUUUUUAGUCCCAAGAGAUCUGCUCUCCCAGCCUCCAAAUCCCAAACCCUAAAGCAGAGGUAAUUUUAUGAUUUGUAUAUUAUUAAUAUACAGAAAGAUAUUUUUUCUACAGUAUCUUCUGGUGACUGGACAAACCUCAAGGGAGACAACUGCACCUCCAGCAUGUAGCUUAGAUAAUGAUUUCGGUCCUUGGCACUUUGUAACUCAGCUGGAUGACUUUUCUCUGGAGUCAGUUAUAUCAUUCAUUGCACUGUUCUCUAAGUUGAUUGCAUUUUUUUAAGUAUAUUUUCCUUAUAUACAUACCAGUUAAACUCUGAGGAAAUGAGAUUCCUUCCCCAAGGAUACUAUAAUAGCUACAUUACAAAGAUCAUUAGCAAGCACUGAAAUCUAACUAAAGCUUGGCAGCUCUUAAUAGGCAAUGAUUUUCCAUACACUGCUCUUUAACUGAACAACAAAUAUUGAUCUAACCAACUCUGCUACCAGCAUCAUGCAGGCUUUUCAAGCUGGUUUCAGAGUACGUAUUCCUCCUCUCAGAACCCAAGAGCCCAGUUCUUAGCAGGGGUAGGUCCUUUGAUCCAGCAGAGCUCCGAUGAUCUCCAUGUGGUCUCUCACAUCGUUUGAUGUAAUGUUCCUGCUGUAUAUUGCUGAUACUCUGACAAACAGGAGCAGAUACUAAUUGAUGUGAGAGGAAGGUUCAUUUUGGUCUAGAUGGAGUUGUGUUACAGAAAGCAGCACAGAGAGCAGUUCUGAUGUUCACACCAUGCUUGCUGUGCAGAAAUGAGCUUGCCAUGUGCUGUCAGGGAGCACCCUCUACUGGGAGUAGUUUUCAAAGCUACUCUCCUCAAUAGUGGAAAACCUGUCUCCUGUGGAGCACCUGCUGAAACAGUACAGCAGAGGAGCUGGUUAAACACAGAGCUGGGCACUGCAAAGAGAACCACUGUAGCAUUCUGAAUCACCACCUAAAUUCACAGACAGUAAAACAUAAAUGCCCCAGUGGAUUUGACUUGCAUUCGUAAAAUGGGGGUCAGGGUCUAUGAUUGUAUCACUGAUUCUUUCUUGGACUGGGGAAAAUUGGAAACAGGCAUGGCAAACCUCUGCUAAACUGCUGCAAUUCAUGGGAAUUUCCAAGAAGACUAUAUAUGUCUGUAGCUAACAUAACACCACUUUUGCUCCAAUUAGCUAAAAUUCCAAUGCUCAGUAUGUGUGACUGCCCUGCUGGUCCGCUCUACUCUGGCCACGGCAAAGUUGGGUGAAGGACAACAGCUUCCUUCCAUUGCCAAGGUGUCUCCAACUUCAUGGGCUUCACGCCUGAAAUGUUUUGCAGUAUCUUUCUUUUUGUCUUUAGAAGAAAACUAAGUCAUUGUAAUUGCAUUGGAAUCUGAGGGAGUUAUCUCGUGUUUCAAUAAAAAUAAAGGAGCUUUAAAAUGUUACCCUGAAUAUAAAAAUCACACUGCCAGACAAAAAUCAAUCAAUACUGCAAUUAAAACAACGGAAUUUAAAUACAUAAGUGUUAUUGUAUACAGCCAUUUUUAGUUAUUAAAAUAAUCUUAACUCAUCACCCCUGCUAUAUUAACAAUGGGAUGUGAUUAUUUUUUCAUACCUCAACAAUGUUUAUUAUUUCAAACUGAAAUACACAUAACAAUUAAGGCUAUCCAGUUAAAAGUUAAAUAUUUCUACUUUACAACUAUGCCUUAAGGAAAUAAAUGCAUUAAAAUUAUACUGAGUACUUCAGAUUAUGUUCUUCCUUUUAGAAGAACAGGAAAGCAAAAACUACACAGACAUUUUGACUAAUAGCUCAGCGAUUUUGUCACAUAAAAAUCUUUUAAGUGUUGAUCAACUGGAAGUGGUCAAUGAAACUCCAAUUUCACUGAGGUCAAGGAAACAUUGCCAUUGACUUCAGCAGAGCCCAAAAGGAUUUGUGGUUGGAGGGUUCCCUUGUUGCUACCUGAAUGCCACAAUUCCUGUGAGCCUGCAAAGCAGGUUAACACAGUGCUGGCUCUCAGGACGACAGAUGUCCAAUUAAGCUUGCUCCCUUCUUUAGACCAGUGUGUGAGUACAGGCAAAUUGGAUGCACCAGCCUCAUCAAUAAAAGAUAAAAUGAAGAAAAGAACAUUGUUAAAAAAAUCCCUGAUUCCUCCCCAUUUUCAGUUCAGGACCCUGCACAAAUCUUUUUUCCCAGCAUGUAAAAUGAGACUAUGGCCUGUCAGGUGAUAGAGGGCAGAGCUGGCAUCAGGGGUUGUGUAGCAGCUGAGGAACCUGCUGUGGCCCCAGGGCAUGAUACUGCACUACAUGAUGCACAUUCAGGCCUUAAUGUAGCAUCACAGACCCUCUCUGUAAAGAGAGGAAGACAUGAGGGUAGUAGGUGAAGAGACAUGGAGAGACAGAGAGGCAGAGGCACUGUGGCACAUAAAAGAGCAUGGGCUGAGGUACAACAUGGGAAAGACCCAUGGAAUUCAACAGGUCUGAUCAGUUGUUCAACAAGUAAGUGCAGCAAGGACUAUACGCUCUCUCUUCCCACCCAAGGGAAUAAAGCAUGCUGAAGAUUUAUUGCUCAAAGGCAAAGGGGGACAGAAGCUCUAAAAUCAAUGGGGUUAAUAGUUCUUGCACCUUUUCAGCUUCUGUUUGAAGACAGCGAUGGCAUAAUAGUUUUUAAAUUUCACCAGGAAAAUGGGGAUUGGGAUGAUAAUAGUUAACAUGCCAAAUACUGCAGCUAAGGCCGCUGUCACUUGGCCAACAGUGGUGAGAGGGAUGAUGUCUCCAUAGCCCACUGUAGUGAGUGUGAUCAGAGCCCACCAGAAGCAGACAAAAAUGUCAGUGAAGUGCAGCUCUCCUGUGUAAGAAGGACUGCUACAAAGCAACUCCCCAUAGAAAAACAGAGAGCCAAAGAAAAGGGUCUCAAAGGCCAAAAUCAUCAGCAAGAUGCAGAUCUCUCGGAGGAUAGACUUGAGGGUGUAGGAUAGAACUCUGAGGAUCAGUGGGGUUUCUAUCAGCUUGGAUAUCUUCAGGAGUUUGAGGAGAUAGACAACACGAAUAAAGCCCAGCCAAAGCCCCAAACUUGGCAUUCUCUGAAUCUGUCCGUCCACAAAGAGUUCAAUAUAAACUGGGAAAAGGGAGAGGAAGUCAACCAUGUUCAGGGGAUUCUGGAAGAAUUUCUUUUUGUCUGGGCAGACACAAAAUCGCACAGAGAACUCAAAAGUAAACCAAAGAACACAGAAAAGCUCCAGAUGAAGCAAGUAGGCAGCCUGGUGGUAAUAGGGUUCACGGUAGUUGUGGGCAACCUCAGAACGGCCAACAAAGGUGAAGUUAGCAGUGAAGAACUCAAAUUGUGCCUUGGUCUCCUCACAGAAUAUGACGACAACUCCAAUGGUGAAUAGCAGAGAAACAACAGCCAGGCACUGCAGAGGGAAGAAAGGGUACACAUACCAUGAGUCCAACAAACAGGUAUCACAUUACCUCACUGCUCCACCUCAAGCCCAGGAUCCCCUCCAUAGACGCAGAAUGAUCUCAAACUAACAUUUCUCAAAUGCUCUGCUAAGAGUUGUUUUGCACAGAUCGGUAUUUUCUCCCUCCAGGCUUGAAAAAACAUAUAGAAGAUUGGGGUCAAGGAAGAAAACGCCUGAACUCCUAUAUCUGAGUUUGUAGGGAAGGGGAAACAUGUCUGACAGCUGUGGUAACAUGGACAGACUCACACUGAGGGCCUAAAUGUUGACUCCAGAAAUGCUGGAACAGCAGAAAACAUCCUCUGCAGUCUCCAACUUGCAUUUGUUGUUCUGCAUGCCUGACCUUUCAAAAAGGGGCUGGACAUGCAUUUUAUGUAGGGACAAGUGGAAGGGGAGAAAAAAAGAUGUGUCUGUUAAUGAGAAAACAGAGAUUUUGAAAUGCACUAAGGAACCAUUUAGUUACAUUUAAUCCAGGAACAACUACUCAGUCCUAGCAAAUGGAGCUGAUGAGCCAAGAAAAUAGGUGUUGCCUGGAAGGCAAGUACUGUUUAAAAAACAUGAAGUUGAGAUCUGAGAAUUUUCUUUCAUUCUCACACACUAAAAAUCAAGCAGAAAUCAAGAAUAUGCAGAUAUAGUGUGACUAUUAACUAGCUUAGCCUGAUAUAGUGUGACUAUUAACUAGCUUAGCCUCCAGGCCAAGAAAAGGGCAAGUAGAGGAUAUGAUAGACAACACAAGCAAAGAAGAAACCUUGAGCUUCUCCGUCCUAUAGGCUCCUAAUUCCUGGAAAUGUCAGACACACGACUCACCAAAUACUAGAGGAUGUACCUUUAACUGCUGGUAGUUAGGAAGUCAGUAAUUGAGCUCAGUCCUCACCCCUUAAGCUGUGACCCUACGGUUGAACAAAUUGGGAAUAACUUUAAAGAAAACAACAUCACUAGACUACUGUCCAUCAGAGGAGGGCAAUCAGUGUGCAUGUUAUCACAUAUUUACCCAAGUUUUGCUUUCAAAACCAUUCACAGAUACAAUAUCUGGACACACUCCCUAAGUACUUUGAUGAAUAUCAAACCUCCAGGUUUUUCUUAAAGACAUAUUCAUUUUGGUUAUUUGUGUUAGGUAGAGAUGGAAGGGAAAAUCAGAUUAUCCCCAUGGCCUAGCUGAUGGUCCAUGGAUCGAACAGAUGUCUGUUACUGUCUGCCUAUAAGAAGAGGUGGAGGACAGUUGAAUGCUUUGUCCUGUGAAAGGGCUGGGACUUAAAGACUAACCUCACCUGCUACAGCCACAAGGAAAAAGAGGGACAGUUGGACAUCACCCUCCCCACUCUUCAUGCACAUACGUGGCCCAACAUGGUGCAUUCUCCAAGGAGACCACAGCUGUGAGAUGCAGCUCCACAGCUGCUGAGGGAAAGCACACCUGCAUCUACACCUCAUGGUGAGUUUUCUCACCAUGUUGUAAAACCUAGAAGACACCUUGAGGAAUAAGUAAUUCAUUUCUACUGUCAAAGCAUCAGUGAAGGAGAGUCAGGGUUCCGAGAUACAUAUUUUUUCGAUCUGGAUUCUAAACAGGCAUAAGGCUAAAAACUCAUUAGCAUCUUUCAGGGACACAUUCCAGUAAUCCCAAAGGACAUAGGCUGUGUGCAUCUCCAGGGAUAUUACCUUAGCACCGAAAGAGGAAAAGGGUUUUUCAAAGAUGGACCAAAUCUUCGGCUGCCAUCUGGUUCUCCAGCUGAAAUCCAUUCUUU